GCGCCUUAACAAGAAUAAGCUCCAGGUCCUCCCAGAACUGCUUUUCCAGAGCAACCUGAAGCUCACCAGACUAGAUCUGAGCGAAAACCAGAUCCUGGGAAUCCCGAGGAAGGCGUUCCGCGGCAUCGCCGACGUGAAGAACCUAGCUGGCGUUCGGGAGCAUCUACUGGAGUGGAUGCAGUUAUUCUCCUGCUGAGAAGUUGCAUAUGUCAAACAGCAAUAUGAU